UCAGUCUCGACCACGGCCUCAGUCCAGCCCUUCGACUCUGUCUCAGUCUCGACCAAGUCUUUUUCGAUUGAUGAGUAAGAGCAAACAAAGGAUCAGCCUUGGUUUGAGAAAAAUCAAAACUUUGUUUUCUGAGGUGUUAAUCGAGCAGGGAUGUACCAAUUAUGCAGGGCUGCAGGCAGAUUCUAAGUGUGAACCUCAAUGAUACCAAGUCUGAAUGGAAGACAAUAUGCUUAAUUAGAUAAAUUCAUAGAAAUUGUAUUAAUAAUUUGCUUUCGUUCUAAGUUGUAAUUUGUAAAUUGGGACACUUUGUAUUUUGUCUUUUUAUUU